rnacentral:rRNA from 1 species
UACAGAGGUCUCAAGCGUUGUUCGGAUUCAUUGGGCGUAAAGGGCGCGUAGGCGGCGGGGGAAGUCCAUGGUGAAAGCUCGCGGCUCAACUGCGAGUCGGCCACGGAUACUCUUUCGCUCGAGCACUGUAGAGGCAGAUGGAAUUCCGGGUGUAGCGGUGGAAUGCGUAGAGAUCCGGAAGAACACCGGUGACGAAGGCGGUCUGCUGGGCAGUAGCUGACGCUGAGGCGCGACAGCGUGGGGAGCAAACAGG